GCUCUUCGCUUCCCUCGGGGUCUUGCUCGGACCUCGGCCACCGCCUGGGAUCCCCAGGACUCGUGCGUGCAGCAUGGGCGGCGUCGGGGAGCCGGGACCGCGGGAGGGACCCGCGCAGCCCGGGGCGCCGCUGCCCACCUUCUGCUGGGAGCAGAUCCGCGCGCACGACCAGCCCGGCGACAAGUGGCUGGUCAUCGAGCGCCGCGUCUACGACAUCAGCCGCUGGGCACAGCGGCACCCGGGGGGCAGCCGCCUCAUCGGCCACCACGGCGCUGAGGACGCCACGGAUGCCUUCCGUGCCUUCCAUCAAGAUCUCAAUUUUGUGCGCAAGUUCCUACAGCCCCUGUUGAUUGGAGAGCUGGCUCCGGAAGAACCCAGCCAGGAUGGACCCCUGAAUGCGCAGCUGGUCGAGGACUUCCGAGCCCUGUACCAGGCAGCCGAGGACAUGAAGCUGUUUGAUGCCAGUCCCACCUUCUUUGCUUUCCUACUGGGCCACAUCCUGGCCAUGGAGGUGCUGGCCUGGCUCCUCAUCUACCUCCUGGGUCCUGGCUGGGUGCCCAGUGCCCUGGCUGCCUUCAUCCUGGCCAUCUCUCAGGCUCAGUCCUGGUGUCUGCAGCAUGACCUGGGCCAUGCCUCCAUCUUCAAGAAGUCCCGGUGGAACCACGUGGCCCAGAAGUUCGUGAUGGGGCAGCUAAAGGGCUUCUCCGCCCACUGGUGGAACUUCCGCCACUUCCAGCACCACGCCAAGCCCAACAUCUUCCACAAAGACCCAGACGUGACGGUGGCGCCCGUCUUCCUCCUGGGGGAGUCAUCCGUCGAGUAUGGCAAGAAGAAACGCAGAUACCUACCCUACAACCAGCAGCACCUGUACUUCUUCCUGAGUGAGUGUCCAUCUGCCCUUCUGGGGUGGGGGAGCGCCUGGGCCUGCACUGUCCUCCCUGCUGUCCUGGACCACUCCCAGGCACUUCCUGGGGCAGGGGCACGCCUGUCAAAUCUCCCUUAUCAUGGCACCCUCCCAGCCUCUGCAGUCUGUACACACUCUCCCAGCACCAUGCCUUUGCCCCAGCUGUCUCCUGUGCCUGGGACACCUUGCAGCCAUGGGCCAUCACAGCCCUGCUGGGAGCUUCCCCAAGCCCCAUGUAGAAUUUCUUCUUGCCCUCACUAGAGUGGUCUGGAGCCCUAGAGUCUUUGGGCAGUUGUUGGGGUGGACAGAGCGAGGACUCAAGGCUGGCCCUGACCUGCGGUGAAGGGUGGUGGGAGGUGGUGGGGUAAGGGCAGCCUGAGGAGGCUUGGACACAGGGUCGGGGGUGAUAUGGGGUCAUUCCAGCUGGAUGUGACCAGCACCAACGUCCCAGGGGCAUUCCUGGAGUAACAGAGCCCCUCACUCUGCUGCCCACCCACCUUGGCAGCCCAGCCCCACUCCUGAGUGCUCUCGUGCCCCUUCUUGCAGUCGG
rnacentral:sRNA from 1 species